rnacentral:rRNA from 1 species
AAAUUGAAGAGUUUGAUCAUGGCUCAGAUUGAACGCUGGCGGCAGGCCUAACACAUGCAAGUCGAACGGUAACAGGAAGCAGCUUGCUGCUUCGCUGACGAGUGGCGGACGGGUGAGUAAUGUCUGGGAAACUGCCUGAUGGAGGGGGAUAACUACUGGAAACGGUAGCUAAUACCGCAUAAUGUCGCAAGACCAAAGAGGGGGACCUUCGGGCCUCUUGCCAUCGGAUGUGCCCAGAUGGGAUUAGCUUGUUGGUGGGGUAACGGCUCACCAAGGCGACGAUCCCUAGCUGGUCUGAG